CUUAACUCACUUCUAUUUCAUUUAUAAAGUGAUAAGGCUUAUGUCUUUUUCAUAUCUUCUUACAGGCCACAAAACAAAGCCCCACAAUGUUGAUUGUUAUGGGAGGGUUGCAAAGCAUCCAUUUGGCAGGAAUUUUACUAGCUAAAAAAGUGGAACUUGAGUGGCUUCUUUCUCUGUGUUCAAGAGAGCAUCAGAGAAAAGCACAAAACCAACCUCCAUUUGAUCAUGUUCAAGAAAACAACCUUUCCAACACAUGAAGAGCAAGCUCCUGCUCUGCAUGAGCAUCAAGAAUGUAAUCAUUAUUUUUAUCGCUUUGGGCAUUUAAAUAUUAUGGGGCGGUUUGGAUUUGGAAUUGGGAGGGGAAUGAUACGUCAUAUGGAAGAAAUGAAAAUUAUGUUUAGUUGAAAAAAAAUAUAUUAGAAAUAAAAAUUAUAUUUAGUUAAAAAAAAGUAUAUCAGAAAUGAGAAAGGUGAAAUGAGAAAAGUGAAAGC